GGGUGUGAUAGCUAACCAUGAAGGUGUGAGUCCAAUGGACAGAUACUAUAAACCCAUAUUUACCGACAUAAGAAUUGAUCAUGGAGACCAUAUAUGAUACUUAUGGGGUACGCGUGAAUCCCUAAGUAUACUUGUACACAUGUAUCAUGGAGAGCGAAGGGUACUCGGGAAUUGCCUACUCCUAUGGUAUCUCUGGUUCGUGUGGCUACAUGUAUCAUGGAC
rnacentral:lncRNA from 1 species